rnacentral:rRNA from 1 species
AACACGGAGAGUUUGAUCCUGGCUCAGAACGAACGUUGGCGGCGUGGAUUAGGCAUGCAAGUCGAACGAGAAAGUCCCCUUCGGGGGGCGAGUAAAGUGGCGAACGGGUGAGUAACGCGUGGGAAAUCUGCCCUCGAAUUGGGGAUAACACUCCUAACGGAGUGCUAAUACCGAAUGAGACCACGGAGUCGCAUGGCUUUGAGGUUAAAGGUGGCCUCUACUUGUAAGCUACCGAUCGAGGAUGGUCCCGCGUCCCAUUAGCUUGUUGGUGGGGUAAUGGCCUACCAAGGCGACGAUGGGUAGCUGGUCUGAGAGGAUGGUCAGCCACACUGGGACUGAGAUACGGCCCAGACUCCUACGGG